rnacentral:rRNA from 1 species
GACGAACGCUGGCGGCGUGCUUAACACAUGCAAGUCGAACGGUGAAGCGCCUUCCUUUUUGGUGGGUGUGGAUGAGUGGCGAACGGGUGAGUAACACGUGAGUAACCUGCCCCCUUCUUCUGGAUAACCGCAUGAAAGUGUGGCUAAUACGGGAUAUUCUGGGUCUGUCGCAUGAUGGGUCUGGGAAAGAUAUUGUUUCGGUGGGGGAUGGGCUCGCGGCCUAUCAGCUUGUUGGUGGGGUGAUGGCCUACCAAGGCGGUGACGGGUAGCCGGCCUGAGAGGGUGGACGGUCACACUGGGACUGAGACACGGCCCAGACUCCUACGGGAGGCAGCAGUGGGGAAUAUUGCACAAUGGGCGCGGGCCUGAUGCAGCGACGCCGCGUGAGGGAUGGAGGCCUUCGGGUUGUGAACCUCUUUCGCCAGUGAAGCAGGCCUGCCUCGUUUGUGGGUGGGUUGACGGUAGCUGGAUAAGAAGCGCCGGCUAACUACGUG